UACAGAGGGGGCGAGCGUUGUUCGGAAUUACUGGGCGUAAAGGGCGCGUAGGCGGCCUGCUAUGUCGAACGUGAAAUCCCCGGGCUCAACCCGGGAACUGCGUCCGAAACUGGCAGGCUUGAAUCCGGGAGAGGGAUGUGGAAUUCCAGGUGUAGCGGUGAAAUGCGUAGAUAUCUGGAGGAACACCGGUGGCGAAGGCAGCUCGCUGGGACGUUACUGACGCUGAGACGCGAAAGCGUGGGGAGCAAACAGG
rnacentral:rRNA from 1 species